GACGUAGGGCGCGCGCGUUGUCCGGAUUUAUUGGGCGUAAAGAGCUCGUAGGCGGCUUGUUGCGUCGACCGUGAAAACCCGCGGCUUAACUGCGGGCUUGCGGUUGAUACGGGCGGGCUGGAGUUCGGUAGGGGAGACUGGAAUUCCUGGUGUAGCGGUGAAAUGCGCAGAUAUCAGGAGGAACACCGGUGGCGAAGGCGGGUCUCUGGGCCAAUACUGACGCUGAGGAGCGAAAGCGUGGGGAGCGAACAGG
rnacentral:rRNA from 1 species